rnacentral:rRNA from 1 species
AGAGUUUGAUCCUGGCUCAGGAUGAACGCUAGCGGGAGGCCUAACACAUGCAAGCUGAGCGGUAGAGAUCUUUCGGGAUCUUGAGAGCGGCGUACGGGUGCGGAACACGUGUGCAACCUGCCUUUAUCAGGGGGAUAGCCUUUCGAAAGGAAGAUUAAUACCCCAUAAUAUUUUGAGUGGCAUCACUUGAAAUUGAAAACUGAGGUGGAUAAAGAUGGGCACGCGCAAGAUUAGAUAGUUGGUGAGGUAACGGCUCACCAAGUCGAUGAUCUUUAGGGGGCCUGAGAGGGUGAUCCCCCACACUGGUACUGAGACACGGACCAGACUCCUACGGGAGGCAGCAGUGAGGAAUAUUGGACAAUGGGUUAGCGCCUGAUCCAGCCAUCCCGCGUGAAGGACGACGGCCCUAUGGGUUGUAAACUUCUUUUGUACAGGGAUAAACCUAUCUACGUGUAGAUAGCUGAAGGUACUGUACGAAUAAGCACCGGCUAACUCCGUGCCAGCAGCCGCGGUAAUACGGAGGGUGCAAGCGUUAUCCGGAUUUAUUGGGUUUAAAGGGUCCGUAGGCGGAUGCGUAAGUCAGUGGUGAAAUCUCACAGCUCAACUGUGAAACUGCCAUUGAUACUGCGUGUCUUGAGUGAGGUUGAAGUAGCUGGAAUAAGUAGUGUAGCGGUGAAAUGCAUAGAUAUUACUUAGAACACCAAUUGCGAAGGCAGGUUACUAAGUCUCAACUGACGCUGAUGGACGAAAGCGUGGGGAGCGAACAGGAUUAGAUACCCUGGUAGUCC